rnacentral:tRNA from 1 species
CCGUCGAUAGCUCAGUUGGUAGAGCGGUGGACUGUAGAGGCUUACGCAACACGGACAUCCAUAGGUCGCUGGUUCGAAUCCGGCUCGACGGA